UACGUAGGGUGCAAGCGUUGUCCGGAAUUAUUGGGCGUAAAGAGCUCGUAGGCGGUUUGUCGCGUCUGCUGUGAAAACUCGGGCUAACUCGGCCUGCAGUGGUACGGGCAGACUAGAGUGCGGUAGGGGAGACUGAAUUCCUGUGUAGCGGUGAAUGCGCAGAUAUCAGAGAACACCGUGGCGAAGGCGGGUCUCUGGGGCAGUAACUGACGCUGAGGAGCGAAA
rnacentral:rRNA from 1 species